rnacentral:rRNA from 1 species
AUUGAACGCUGGCGGCAGGCUUAACACAUGCAAGUCGAGCGGGGUGAUGGUGCUUGCACUAUCACUUAGCGGCGGACGGGUGAGUAAUGCUUAGGAAUCUGCCUAUUAGUGGGGGACAACAUCUCGAAAGGGAUGCUAAUACCGCAUACGUCCUACGGGAGAAAGCAGGGGAUCACUUGUGACCUUGCGCUAAUAGAUGGGCCUAAGUCGGAUUAGCUAGUUGGUGGGGUAAAGGCCUACCAAGGCGACGAUCUGUAGCGGGUCUGAGAGGAUGAUCCGACACACUGGGACUGAGACACGGCCCAGACUCCUACGGGAGGCAGCAGUGGGGAAUAUUGGGCAAUGGGGGGAACCCUGAUCCAGCCAUGCCGCGUGUGUGAAGAAGGCCUUAUGGUUGUAAAGCACUUUAAGCGAGGAGGAGGCUCUUUUGGUUAAUACCCAAGAUGAGUGGACGUUACUCGCAGAAUAAGCACCGGCUAACUCUGUGCCAGCCGCCGCGGUAA